rnacentral:rRNA from 1 species
AUUGAACGCUGGAGGCAUGCCUUACACAUGCAAGUCGAACGGCAGCGGACCUUCGGGUGCCGGCGAGUGGCGAACGGGUGAGUAAUGUAUCGGAACGUACCUUUCAGUGGGGGAUAACGUAGCGAAAGUUACGCUAAUACCGCAUAUUCUGUGAGCAGGAAAGCAGGGGAUCGCAAGACCUUGCGCUGAUUGAGCGGCCGAUAUCAGAUUAGCUAGUUGGUGAGGUAAAGGCUCACCAAGGCGACGAUCUGUAGCGGGUCUGAGAGGAUGAUCCGCCACACUGGAACUGAGACACGGUCCAGACUCCUACGGGAGGCAGCAGUGGGGAAUUUUGGACAAUGGGGGCAACCCUGAUCCAGCCAUGCCGCGUGAGUGAAGAAGGCCUUCGGGUUGUAAAGCCCUUUCGUCCGGGAAGAAAUCGCAUCAGCUAAUACCUGGUGUGGAUGACGGUACCGGAAUAAGAAGCACCGGCUAACUACGUGCCAGCAGCCGCAGUAAAAC